GAAGGAAAAAUUCGAUUUUGAAUUGAACCAACCAAUCAAAGAUGCUAUUGACCGUUCAUGAAGAAGAAGUGGAAGGAUUGUCGUUGUAGAUUGCAUAAAAAUUUGAUAACAUGGGUGGCAAUGGAGAUAUUAGACUUGCAAAAAGAAACAAGCCUACAUCUAUAGUAGAGCAAAGUGAUUGGGAUUUCCUAUGUGAUUAUUUUGCCAGUGAUGAGAUGAAGGUAACUACUAUUCAAUGAUACUAUUUUUAGUACAUAUUCUUAAUGGAAUCUAUGCCGUACUUGGAACCCUUCUCAUGAGUGUGGAAAAAUAAUGAUAUUCAUAUAUUACUUGAGUUAAGUCUAGUUUUGUAGAUUGGUUUGGCUAUAUUGAUCAAUAGAAAAAAUUAAAAGAAAACAAGGUUGGAAAAUUGUGGUACUUGUGUAGAGAAGGCUGCUUUACAGAAUGAGGUUGAAAUCUUCGUUCACAAUUGAAAUAUGUGCAGAUAUUCUUAAUUCGCAUUCCUAAAGAGUUUCUUCAGCCUAUUCAAUCUUAUAUGUCUUCAUCCAAUGGUUUAAAUGGUGAUAAUUAAUAUGUUUUUUACUUUAGUUUUGGUGAUGUAGUAAUAGUUAUUUAUUUUUAUUUGAUUGAGGCAAUAGUCUCUAACUUUACAUCUUCUAGUUUUUUAUGUUGAGAAUAGAAAUAAUUGAACUGGGUAUAUUUUGGUUGCUCAAAUCAUGAUAUUUGAUAUAAUUAACAUGUAGUUGUAGUUGAUGUUGGGACAAUUGAUUGAAGACC
rnacentral:lncRNA from 1 species